AGGAAGCGGGUGUGCCAUUAUCAUUAUACAAGAUAGAAUUGUUUGCGCAUGCCCUAGACAAAGACGGUGACGGGAGGUCGACUACAGUGAAAUGGUUUUACAACUAAAGCAAGCUGAAGCUGGAUAUUAGAAGAUGCCAAGUUUGAGACAACAGAUUUUAACAAACACUGAAUAAACAUGCAAUGACAUUCGUAUGUGUAUUUGAACAAAACUAUAGUAUGUGUAUAUAAUAACUAUCCAUCAUCGUUUGCUUGACUAGGCAGUUUAUUUUUUAUAUAAAAUGCAUGUAAGUGACAUAAUUAGCUGGAGCGAUAAUAUAAGCGAUAUAUAAACCACGUGUAGAGGAUUGAAUUGCUCGCGUAUUUUUAAAAAGUGUAUGAAGAAUAUGUACAUUGCUCCACCGGUUGAUGGUCACCGAACUUACAUCAUGAGAUUCUUCCGGUCUGCAUGCCUGUGUGCGUCCAUCAAUUAUUUUUCGUUGAAACGAUAUCUUCAUCUAAAUUCGGUUAGCUGAUUUAGUAAGAACUUUAUACACCAUAUCAGCAGAUCACAGUGCAUAUCAAUUAAUAUCGUCUCUUAAUAUUGGGGGCAUAUUUGGAAAAAAAUUAUCUUUGCGGAUGAAUUCUUUGACAUAAGGAUAUAUUCGUACAGCAUAUUUUGACGUUUUAUAUAAACAACUUAAAAUACAAUCCUUACACUUAUCAAUGGUGUAUGUACUACAUGUUAUUUUGAUUUGAUGAUUUUAGUAAUUUGUAAAGUUUACUCUGAUAUAGUUUUCAUAUUGCGUAUACUUUGAUGUUGACAAGUGGACAAUAAAUGUGUUUAAA